GACGUAGGGGGCGAGCGUUGUCCGGAUUUAUUGGGCGUAAAGCGUGCGUAGGCGGCUGCGCAAGUCGGUUGUGAAACCCCGGGGCUCAACCCCGGAACUGCAUCCGAUACUGCGUGGCUAGAGGUAGGUAGGGGAGAUCGGAAUUCCUGGUGUAGCGGUGGAAUGCGCAGAUAUCAGGAGGAACACCGGUGGCGAAGGCGGGUCUCUGGGCAGUAACUGACGCUGAGGAGCGAAAGCGUGGGGAGCGAACAGG
rnacentral:rRNA from 1 species